AGCUCAGUCAUAGCACACACACUCCUCCUUCUCUAAAACUGAAACUGAAAACCAAAUCUUGAAAUUGAGAGAACCCUAGCCCCCAAUCGCGCAGCCCUUAGCCACCGCAGCCCUCAGCCACCACAGCGACUGUUUUGACCACCGCAGUCCCCACAGCUCCGCAGCACCGCGUCGUUGUCAUCGCCGAGCUCUUUUUCUCUCUCUCUCUGUUCGUCAGCGUCGUCGGCGUCGUCUGGUCGUCGGAAGCAAGGUUGAAGAUUCUGUCAUCGUCGUUGUCGAGCUCUCUCUUCUCCUUGCCCUCGCCGUCAAGCUUUCUCUUCUCCUUGCCCUCGCCGUCAAGCUCUCUCUUCUCCUCCGUCGAGUUCUCUCUUCUCCUCGCCGUCGCUGUCGAGCUCGCUCUCUGUCUCUCUGUCCCUUCCUCUGAUUUAUGUUGGGUAGCCUCUGAUAAAAGUGUACUUGUCUAAUGGAUGAGAAAGUUAAGAAGUCAAAGACUGAAGAAAUCUGUUUGGAGCCAAAUGACAGGAAGAAGGAUAAGCACAUGAAGAAAAAGAAAAAACACCGAAAUGAUAAAGCACUCGAUUCAGAUAAAAUUCUUGAGGGAAAUUGUAUUGAUGAUGAUGGUGAGAGACAGGCUUGUUCCAAUGAUAAAUUUACGAGGAAUAAAGAAGAGGAUGGGAACAUUAGUAAGAAGUUGAAGAAAAAAAGGAUAAAGGACACUGAAGUGUUACAUAAUGCGAUUGUUGAUGAUAAAAUAUUGCAGGUAAUGGAUGACAACCAAAAAAGCAAGAGGAAGAAGAGAAAAAUUUGCAGUGAUUCAUUAACUGCAAUCCAAGAAAUAGGUUCUUCAAAACCAAAGAAAAGAGGGAAAGUUGUUGGGAAUUACGACUUCAAGGACCAUGAGGGUGAUCCUCCUUUGGCCAGAAUCAGCACUGGAGAUGCUAAUGCACAUUCACUUGUCAAUGAAGUUGAUGAUCAAGGUGAGAAGACGGAGAAGAAUAAGAAGGAACUGAGAGAAAAGGGUGAUUAUUUUGUCGUUCCUAGUGACCGGCAAGACAAAGAGACAGAGAAGGUAAUUAUUAAUAAAGUGAAAAGGAUUGAAGAAGAUGACUGCAAAACCAAUAAAGGUGAUACUUGUUUUGCUGAAAGUAUUGUAGCUGAUACUUCUUUGGUCAAAAGUAAUGAAGGUGAAGAUCAUCAAGGCAAGAAGAUGAAGAAGAAGAAGAAACUGAGAAAUAAAAGCAAAAGUAAGUUUGAAAGCACUGAAGAUGAUCAACAUUGUGCUGAAGCCAAUGAAGGUGAAGACAAUAACCAAGGCAGGCAAAGGAAGAAGAAAUUGAGCAAUAAACGAAAAAGUAAGGAUAAAAGUGAGUUUAAAAGCAGCAAAGAUGAUCAACAUUGUGCCAACGGCAAUGAAGGUGAUGAUGAUAACCUGGGCAAGAAGAUGAAGAAUGGUAAACAGAGUGAAGAAAGCAAAAGUAAUGAGAGAAAUGAAGUUAAUGAUCAAGGAAGGAAGACGAAGAUAAACAAGAAAACUAAGGAAGGCACCACAUCCAAACUCAAACGAGUAACAUUUUCUGAUCAGGUGGAGGUCUGUGGUGAUGGCUUAAUACGGUGGCAAAGGUAUACGAAUGAAGAAGAUGAAAAAAUUAAACAGGCUGUUUUCGACUAUAUAGAGACUCACAAAUUGGGGGAUGAAGGUCUUGAUAUGGUUCUUAAUUCUAGAUAUCACCCUGAAGUUAAACAUUGUUGGAAGGAAAUUGGAGUAGCCUUGCCCCAUAGGCCUUACAUUAGUGUAUAUAAUCGUGCACGCAUUUUGUUUGCUAGGAAAGGCACCACAUCCAAACGCAAACGAGUAACAUUUUCUGAUCAGGUGGAGGUCUGUGGUGAUGGCUUAAUACGGGGGCAAAGGUAUACGAAUGAAGAAGAUGAAAAAAUUAAACAGGCUGUUUUCGACUAUAUAGAGACUCACAAAUUGGGGGAUGAAGGUCUUGAUAUGGUUCUUUAUAAUAAACAUCACCCUGAACUUAAAAAUUGUUGGAAGGAAAUUGGAGUAGCCUUGCCCCAUAGGCCUUACAUUAGUGUAUAUUAUCGUGCUCACAUUUUGUUUACAAGGGAUGAGAAACACACUUGGACAGCUGAAGAGGUCGAGUUUUUAAAGAAGACAGUCGAACGACAUGGAUCUGAUUUUAAAUCAAUAGCCGAGGCAAUGGGUAAAAAUCGACUUCAUGUAAAGGAUCAAUGGCGUAGAAUAAAAAUGACCAGAAAGAGAGGAGCAUGGUCUCAGGAGGAGUAUCAAAAAGUAUUUGAUUUGGUAAGCGUUGACCUACGUGCAAGGGCUUUAGAAGACACUAGGAAUAAAAAGCAUGGUAUGUUGCGAGAUAAUAUUGGUUGGGAGGCAAUUAGUGACAAAUUGGGAACUAGAUGGAAUGGAGGAAUUUGCCAAAAGUGGUAUUCUCAACUAACAUCUCCUAUGGUUGAUAAAGGUAUUUGGAGUGAUACUGAUGACUACCGCUUGGUAGAUGCCUUAUUUAGCUUGGAUGCUUGCAGCAUGGAGGAGGUAGACUGGGACAAUUUGCUUGAGCACAGGGAUGGUGAGUUAUGCAGAAAACGAUGGAAUCAAAUGGUUCGAUAUAUUGGAGAGCAUGGGAGAAAGUCAUUCACUGAGCAGGUGGAAAUUCUUGCCAAAAGAUAUUGCCCUGAUUUAUUGGAAGCAAGAGAAGCCUUUGAUAGCCAACCUGUCAUUUGUGGACGAUCUUGCGAAAAGAUAUUGCCCUGAUUUAUUGGAAGCAAGAGAAGCCUUUGAUAGCUAACCUGUCGUUUGUGGACGUUGUUAUUUUGUCAGGUUAAUGGUUUGAAACUUGUUGAUCUUUGGUUCCGCCUGAUUUAUUGAACCACGUUGUAUUGUGCACUUGUUUCUAUUUUCUAUAUUCUGCCGUAUAGCAAGGUUUAGUUUGUUGUUCUUUCUACGUUCUGCUGUAUUGGGUUGAAUAUCAAUUCCAUAUUUGAAUAUUUCAACUCUGCAUCAUGAAGUUUCUUUAUACUGUGAUGUGCAAUGUUAUUUUACUGUUAAUGUAACAAAAUCUUCAGCAUUAUUACGAAGACUUUGAUGCUGAGGGUCUAAUGUGUUGCUUUUCUAAAGCAUAAUGUUUCUUGAUUAGGAACCAAAGUUGCUGCUACAAGCAAUGUUCAUUGUUCUUCUUUCA